CAGCGCCAGCGGACCCGCCCCCGGGCUCCUUGCUAACCCGUGGUCCCGCGGGCCCCAGGCUACGGCUGACACCCCUUAUUUUAACGGCUGUUAGGAUCUUUCCCUUCCAGCCACCUAGUUUUACAGAAGCUCGGAGAAUCUAGUUUAGCCCAAUGCAUUCACCCGGCUUGCCAACUGGCCCGCGGUGUUAUCCUUACUCGCUUCUGUCCCGCUUGAAAAUGCAGUUGACAUUUAUGGAAGGAAGGCUUACGGCGUGGUAGAGAGUACAAUCAUUACGCGCUUCGGCGGCAUUAACUCUUUUAAUAACCUUCAAACUCCUGGAAAUUGGUGCUUUUAUUCUCUAUGCCUUACCAGGAAGGAAACCGGCCAGGUAUCAAACGUUACCACAUAUGCUGGCUCUUGGUUUUACUUUAAUUUGUGGUAUUCGUAGAAAUCUCAUUUGCCCCAAACAAGACUUUUUCGAAUUAUUCUAAGACAGGAGCCAAACUGUAUUUCCCUAUAUCGGUCAUCCUUUGCACCUUCAACAAAGUCUGAGAUGAUGAGCUCUACAAUCUUAAGGCCAGAAUCCUGUUACUUUACAUUUCACCCUGGGAAGUCGGAAGAGGAUGCUGGAUCUUCUGAAACUGGUUGUAAGCCACCAUGCGUGUACUGAGAAUUGAACCCAGAGCCUCUUGUAAGAUCAUCCUUUGCUCCUAACCAUUAACCCAUUUCUCCACCCACAAGAUUUAUUUUAUUUUUAAUAACAUGUGUAGGCAUGUGUCUGUGUGUGACUAUGUAGAUUUGCGAGAGCCUCCCAUGGAGUUCAGAGGCCUUAGAUGCCUUGGGACUUAAGUUCCUUUUGAUGGUGAACCACCCAAUUAUAGGGAACACUUAGGGUCCCUGGGACACUUGGUGGUCCCUGAGAAAGCAGCGCACAUCCUCUUUGCUGUUACUGGUGGUCGUGGCAGUUUUUAUCAUUUGUGGGUCUGUUGUGGUUGUUGUUUUGUUCGGUUGGUUGUUUUUAUGUGGCUGAGUGUUUUGCCUCCAUGAAUUUCUGUGCACCAUAUGCGCAUUCACUGCGAAGGGCAGAAGAAGGCAUCCAGCCCCCUGUAACGGAAGUUACAACAGUUGCGAGCUGCCACGUGAGUGCUGGGAACCAAUCCCAGUCCUCCAAAAAAAGCAGCCAGUGCCUUUUAACCACUCUCCCAUCUCUUGUUUUUGAGUCUCACUAUGUCUCCGUAGCUGGCCUGGCUCGACUGUAUCUGACUGUGUAGACAGGCUGGCCUCAAACUCAAAGAGACCUGCUGGUCUACGCCUCUCAGGCGCUGGUAUUGAAGACAUCUACCAUGUUCAGCAAAGAACCAUGCACGCUCUUAAUUUCAGAGCCACCUCUCCAGCUUUAUAAAUUCAAAGCUUUAAAAUUGAGGAUGGGGGUGUAGCUCAAUCUGAAGUGUGCUUGACUGCCAUUUACAAGUUUCUGGGUUUGACUUCCAGGCGCACAUUAAAGUUUGACAAAGUAACACUAAUAGAGGAGUGCUGGAAGAGCCCAGUGAAUGUCAGCUGUGACAGUGACUGGACACAGUGUAUGGAAAAACAACUAACAAAGGAUGAUCUAAACCACUGCAAAAGUUUAUUGCACGAUUAUGGUGAACAAGGCACGGGACGUUACAGAGAACACCAAGAACUCCGAGUCCCAGGAGAGAAGAAAAAUGCCAGCCGGGGAGAUGAGUUGUGGGCGCAUAGAAAAAGAGCCUUAAGGCUGCAUCUUGUGACAGUGCAGAGCAGGGAGCAGAGUCGUUAACUUGGAGAGACUGCUUCCAUCAGUCUCAGAUGGGACUUUUAAAGGAUUUGUGAAGUAUAGAAAACAUGGGGACAUCAAAGAAUCCCAGCAUUUUUUUUUUUUAAAGUAUGGCUAUAGGAAAGCUCAAAGCUCAUCUAGAAAACCCCCUGCCCCAGGCUUCCAAGACCUGGGAUUAUGGGGACAAUUCACCACGCGGGGCUUCAACAGGGCUGUUACUUCAAAGAGUGGUGCAAGUCCUUAUGGACCACAAGGAAAGAUCUUCCAAGGCGCUUUUUCUCCUACUUCCCCUCAAUCUCUUAAGACUGAUGUACCCAGAACUCGAUCCUUUCUCUUCUCGUUCAUCUUCACUUCCUCCAUUGCUGAUAUCAUCCAGCUUCAAAGACAUAAAUGCCUUCUAUACUGUAAAUGCUCGGACAGAUUUGCUAAAAAAAAAAAAAAAAAAAAAAAAAACGAACAAAGAAGCAUUUAAAAUG